GUGUCAGCAGCCGCGGUAAGACGAAGGGGGCUAGCGUUGUUCGGAAUUACUGGGCGUAAAGCGAGUGUAGGUGGUUUUCCAAGUUGGAUGUGAAAGCCUUGAGCUCAACUCAAGAAAUGCAUUCAGGACUGGAUGACUAGAGGACCGGAGAGGAUAGUGGAAUUCCCAGUGUAGUGGUGAAAUACGUAGAGAUUGGGAAGAACACCAGUGGCGAAGGCGGCUAUCUGGACGGUUUCUGACACUAAGACUCGAAAGCGUGGGGAGCAAACAGGAUUAGAUACCCUGGUAGUCCACGCCGUAAACGAUGGGUGCUAGACGUUGGCGAGCUUGCUCGUCAGUGUCGCAGCUAACGCGUUAAGCACCCCGCCUGGGGAGUACGGCCGCAAGGUUGAA
rnacentral:rRNA from 1 species